rnacentral:rRNA from 1 species
GACAGAGGGUGCCAAGCGUUAGGCGGAAUCACUGGGCUUAAAGCGCGUGUAGGUGGCGGCCUAAGUAUCCUUGUAGAACUCCGUGACGGCUCACGCAGAACUGCUUGGUAUAACUGGGUCGCGUUGGAGCCAAUCCGAGGGGCAACUGGGAACAAAGCGGUGGAGCGGUGAAAAUGGACGUCAGGAUAAGUCGCUUGGAAACCGCCGAAAGGUCGAAAACGAAGC